GCAGAGAUGAUGUUUACAAAGGUCACAAUCAACAUUCAUUGCUGUCGGUGGGUUGAACUGUGUAGAAAAGCUCACUGAACAAUGAAUGCAACUGUGGCCCCGCUUUUUGCUGUCACAAUCA
rnacentral:precursor_RNA from 14 species